ACGGGAAUAACAUUGCGAAAGCGAUGCUGAUACCGGAUAAGCUCACGAUUUGAUUGAUUGUGGGAAAAGAUGGCCUCUGUAUAUGCUAUCGCUUGAAGAUGAGUCCGCGUACCAUUAGCUUGUUGGUAGGGUAAUGGCCUACCAAGGCUUCGAUGGUUAGCUGGCCUGAGAGGGCGGCCAGCCACACUGGAACUGAGACACGGUCCAG
rnacentral:rRNA from 1 species